rnacentral:RNase_P_RNA from 1 species
ACCCGAGGUAGUAGGCUUACGGGCCGUAAGAGCCUGAGGAAGCUCCGCUCACCUCAUGGAACUGCGGCGCCGUAAAGGCGCACGGCUAAAAGCCGUGGCUCCGGCACAGAAACGACACGGCCCCCAUCGGAUGUCUAUGAUGCGGUGAGGACCUCCUGGCAACAGGAGGUCGGUGGCCCGCGGAUGUAUGGUGGGGGAUGCGUUGAAACGGCCGUCCCGCAGGGUGUAAGGGCAAGUAGGCACCGAUGAUUCUCCAUGGGAGGUGCGGGUGGCCCGCAUAGCCAAAUGCUACGAACAGAAAGCGGGUUAUUACCUCGGGU